rnacentral:lncRNA from 1 species
CCAUCAAAAUCUCAAGAUAUUUUUGUUUACAUAAAACUGAAUUUUUCCCCCACUUUGAUUGGAUGCCGUCAAGUGAGGAGACCACAAUUUUGACAUCUGAUUGGACCUAUAUGUGAAGGAAAUCCCCAACCUGUGUAUGCAACUACUUACUUGUGUAGUACAAUAGCCUAGAAUUUACAUUCAUUUAUUUUUUCAGUCCACAUGAUGCAAUUAUAUACCUCAAUACUUAACUAUAACAAAAUUUCUGCGUGGGACACAUGUUCUGGUACACCAAAACUGGUACCUGCCACCUUU